rnacentral:lncRNA from 1 species
GGCGGGGGGGGGAGGGAGGCAUAGCAAAGAAUUUGAAUUUGAAAUUGUUAAAAUCGGAACGACGAAAAAUAGAUACAGAAAAUAAUUUAAUGCAGGAAACGAAAAGAUAAGGAAAGAACACACCGAUAUUUACGUGGUUCGGCCAACGGCCUACGUCCACGGGCGAAGAUGGAGCAAAUAAUUUAUUAAUGUCGAAAAGGCGGAGUACAAAGAAGAUCUCUCUC